UACGGGGGGGGCAAGCGUUGUUCGGAAUUACUGGGCGUAAAGGGCUCGUAGGCGGCCAACUAAGUCAGACGUGAAAUCCCUCGGCUUAACCGGGGGAACUGCGUCUGAUACUGGAUGGCUUGAGUGUAGGAGAGGGAUGCGGAAUUCCAGGUGUAGCGGUGAAAUGCGUAGAUAUCUGGAGGAACACCGGUGGCGAAGGCGGCAUCCUGGACUACUACUGACGCUGAGUGAGCGAAAGCCAGGGGAGCAAACGGG
rnacentral:rRNA from 1 species